UCGUAUUUCAUAAACUCUUACUUCUUAGCUGCAUUAACAUGCUGUAGCUUGAUCUAGUCAGAGCUGAACAAGUAAGCAGACGGGAGACCACUGAGGAAAACCUGGUUUCUACUCACAGUGGUGAUGCUGGACCAGUAGGGGGCACUCUUCCCCAAACCAGUGCCCCAGUAUAGUGACAGGGUGCACUUCUCUGUAAGAGAUGCUGUUCUUUAGACAUUAACCAAAUAAUCAUGACUUCUGUUGAUCAUAAGCUAAUUACUGUUAAAGCUGAUCAAUGAGCAGGACAUUUUGAGAAGUGUGUAUCAUGCACUGCAGUGAUUGCAGUUUUGACUAAUAUGUAAAGCAGUCAUGCUACGUAUAUGUCAGGGAACUGGCAGGUAGUUUUAUGAGGAUCCUAUGUGUAGCUGUGAAUUCUGUGGGAUGCAGAGGCAAACAAUGCAAAAUCAUAAUCCAGAAACAAGGUCGAUAGGAGAAGCUAUAGAUCAGAUAAGAUAGACCCGAGACAAACCAAGACCAUCCAAAAGGCUGUGGUUGGAUAAUUGGUUCAGGAGUGAGAAGCUGUGGAAUCUGGUGCCUGUGAGAAUGGGAUGGGUUCGGUUAGGAAUGAGAUCAUGAAACAGUGGGUUUGGGAAUAUAACGGCUUUUGCGAGGUACAGUGCGGGACGUGACAAUAUAGGUUUGAAAUAAUCAUGUUGAAAAACUUUUGCAUGGCUGAGGACCUGAUACUUUCAUGUGGCGGAGUUAUCUGCUGUUUCAGCCAUCAAAAAGGACAAAAAUCAAUUGUGUCCUUUUGAAGCCCAGUAUAAAUAUUUUAGAUGCACUAAACCAAGAUUGCUGCCUUCAAAUAAUCAAACAUUAACUUGAAACUGCAGACUUCUGUCAGUUACAAUUAGGUGUACCUGCAACUAGACCUCACAGUAAGGCUUAUAAGCUUUAAGGUUGCUAACCGCUUGUUAUAGAAUUUCUCUGAAUAUUACGUGUCUUUUUCUCAGGUGCUGCAGAGAAAAUCCGCAAGCGAAUCAGUAGUUUUUCACAGCCAGUUACUAUUCGGAUGCUUUCUCUGAGACAUCAAGGACUGUCCUCCCUGCUGAACUCUUGCCUGUAUGUUUAUAAAGAUAAAGAGCCAUACCAGAAUGUAACAAACUCUUGUGAUCCAGCACCUUUUAGUACUCAGGCUCUGGAAAAACGGCUCACUGAGAGCAUCACUUUGAAGAAAGAAGAGCUAUUUGAAGUAGUGGAUGAAGAUGAAAAAUUCUGGACCUCUAAAGAUUCAAGGGAGGUGUAUUUAUCCAGAUGGAGCGAUGAGAGAAGUAAAGACUUCAUCAAUGUAUAUGUACACAGGGGUAACAUGAAACUAAGUGAUGUUUUCCAGGAAGAAAUUAAGCAACUUUUUGAAGACUUGAAGCUACUGACAGGGUCGUACCCAAUUACUGUGCUGACCAUGAAGAACAGAGGAGUGGAAAAGGGGUUGAAGCCUUUUUUUCUCAAUCUGGGAUGCAGACACGUAGUUUCAGUGCACAACUACAUCAUCGAUGACCACAGUAGAAGCCCAGAAAGAGAUUAUGACAUACUGGAUUUCCUGAACAUCUGUCUUGAUGAAGCAGAAUCACUGAGAUCAACACGUGAACUUGACCCAUCCCCUUCCAGCUCUGCAUCUUCAUUAACUCCAU